rnacentral:tRNA from 1 species
CAAGAUGUAGCUUAAUAAAAGCCCCCCCCCCACAACGAGGAAAUGUCUGUUUAUCCAAACCAUCUUGA